AAAGGAAUUGACGGGGGCCCGCACAAGCAGUGGAGUAUGUGGUUUAAUUCGAAGCAACGCGAAAAACCUUACCAGGUCUUGACAUCCUACUAACGAAGCAGAGAUGCAUUAGGUGCCCUUCGGGGAAAGUAGAGACAGGUGGUGCAUGGUUGUCGUCAGCUCGUGUCGUGAGAUGUUGGGUUAAGUCCCGCAACGAGCGCAACCCUUGUCAUUAGUUACUACAUUAAGUUGAGGACUCUAAUGAGACUGCCGUUGACAAAACGGAGGAAGGUGGGGACGACGUCAAAUCAUCAUGCCCCUUAUGACCUGGGCUACACAUGUACUACAAUGGCCGUAAACAGAGGGAAGCGAAGCCGCGAGGUGGAGCAAACCCCCAAAAACGGUCCCAGUUCGGAUUGUAGGCUGCAACCCGCCUACAUGAAGUCGGAAUUGCUAGUAAUCGUGGAUCAGCAUGCCACGGUGAAUACGUUCCCGGGCCUUGUACACACCGCCCGU
rnacentral:rRNA from 1 species